CCAUAACCAAGAAGGCCAUGAAAAAUAUAUUAAAACACAACAGAGCAAGAAAUGUAUUUACAUAGUCACUAAAUGAACAAAAUCGUUACAAGUCAGCAAAGGUUUUAAAGGUUUAAGAAAAUGGGUAGAUGGGAUGGGAAAUUUAGUUUUCAGCAGUGUAGUUUUAUCUCCGGUGUUAUUCGAGAAAGAGAAAUUGGCACGGAUUGUGCCUGAUCCCUUGCAAAUUUGUAAUAUUUAUACAAGUUGACGGGGAUUACAAUUUAAGUUUGGCGCAUUAUAAGCUGGUUUAAAUCCGAGUGGUGUACUGUCAAUGAGGGUUACCUCGUUGUAAAUUAUCAUACUCCUUUAUUUGUGUACUUCGUUCUCCAUUUUUUUCUAUUGACCAGUUAUUGAAUGAGUUUGAUGUUACGGCAAAUCGAUACGUGUAGGUCAUAUAUCGUCGUAUUGUCUAUGCACUAUGUAGUUUCAGUGUGCGGGGCUACUUUCAUAACUUUGUUUAUCUGUCUUGUAUGUAUUGCUUCUACCAGUUAUUGUAAUGAAGUCGUUCUUACAAAAGCGACUGAUAACCAGCAGUCAAUACGGACGACAGCUUACACCAAUAGCUGUUUUGCAAGCUAUAUGCAAUCUUUUCAUGUCGUUCUAUUAGUUUUCUUUCAUCAGAGCUGAAACGUUCGCGAAGAGAUUCGAACCUCGGACCUCUUGAUUGACAGUCAAACGCGUCACCACUAGACCAGCGGCUCAUCAAUUGGAACAUACACAGAUAAAUUGAAUUAUCAUUGAAGUUUCACUCUGUUUAUCAUGAAAUAUAAAGAUCCUAGCAACAUCAGUAAGCAAGGAGAAGACGCUAGGCACUGGAGUAGCAACCUGUAGUGAAUGAUGCAUUUUCCAUAGUGAUUGAUGGUUGUUUAUGGAAGUAGUGUCAACUACAACACACGUCGAGAAAAAGAAAGCUGACAGUGUCAGUAAGUUAAGGUAAAAUGUUAUUCUUACCUUUUAACGUUUUGCUCGUUUAUAAUAUAAUAAGGAAGUAUGUUUAUUGUUAAGUCUUGUAACAGUUGAACAGCGGGAGUUUUAGUAAAGUAUACAAAAAAUACUUUAUCUUGUUAAAUCAUUUCCAUAUUACAGCAUGUUAUUCAAUACGAAAUGCUUUGGAAACAAAUGUCCAAAAUGCAUGUCUUAUGCACCUUGUGUUUACUGAUUUCAUUUAUAAGACGCAAGGCAAACAUAAUUUUUAAAAACUGUAUGUAUGGAUCAGGAUAUAUAAAAAGUAUAAGGCUAAAGUCAGUUGUUUUCUUUUCAGAUUAUGUGACAGUUACAUCUAUUUUAUAUGUUUCUAACAUGUUUGCUUGUAAAAGCCCUCUCCUGAUUUACUUCAAAAAUUGGUUUCAUCAGGACUUCUUAAACAACAUAAAAAAUAGGAUGCCGCUCGGGUUGUUCUAUUUACUUAAUGACUAGUUUUAAAUGCGGUUGUUUCUGUCACUGUAAGAGAUAAGCUUAUAUUCGGUAUCUACUUUUGUGUUUAAACCGGGGUUUUAGUACAAAUGUCAAACAAAAUUGAUGGUGCAAUUUUUAAUCCCCUAUAAGUCAAAUUCUAACUAUAACUUUGUUUUCGAAAUUCUUUUUUACGAAUAUUACUUAUCAGCUUUUUGAUAAUAAAAUAUCAUUGGAAUGGGUUCAUUCUAAAAUAACCUAACAUUUGUGUUAUUUAAAUAAAUAAUGACAGAACUCAUUUUUAAUGGCGACCUAGCAGAGGAUUGUUAUAAUUCUUUUAGAAAUACAGUACCCAUUCUAUACAUUAUGUUCAUAAUGUUUUUCAUGGUAAUUCGACCUAUAUAGACCAUGCAAUGCCGAAUUAUCUAUGAACAUACAUACAUACAUCGCUAUUUGAUUCCAGUAUAAUGUGCUGCAUUCAUUGAGUUUGUCUACAUCCGUCGAAUCUGUGUAUAUAUUUUUUUUCAUGUAUUACAAUGAUGUUUGCAUGAAUGGAACGUUAUCAUGUUGUAACGAUUACUUCCAAAGGCGAAAAUCAACUAUCAAUACGGACGACAGCUUUCAUCAAUGGGUAUGGGAAAAGUUUACAACAAUAUAUUCAUACCUUACCAUUGUUUUUGAUCAGAGGUGGAAAUAUCACGAAGAAGUUGUUGGUUAGAAUCGGAGUUAAUUUUCUAUACCAUGUGGAUAAUACAUAGGAAGAGUGAAGAAAUAUAACUAUUGGUGAUAAUCAAAUCGGACCUGAAUUCCAAUAUGGUCUGGAAUAGACGUACAUAUAGUGGAGGAAUACUGAAGAAAACGUUUUAUUGUGAUUCAAAUUGGAUGGAUUUGAUAUUCUAUGCAGUUUGGAAUAUACAUAGACAUAGUGAAUGAUUAUCAUUAUUUAGUGGAUUUAAUUUUAAAUACAUUUGGAAUAAAUAUAGAUAUACUGCAAGAAUAUAAUUAUUGGUGAGUAAGUUUCUUCUAAUUAUUAAUAUGUAUUCAAAUCAGAUAUAAUGCUCAAAACUUUUGAGACAUACACAUAUAAGAUGAAGUAAUAUAAUAACUGAUGAGUGCAUCGUGUUCUAAAUAUUACACAAACCACUAUUUAUCCAUUUAAUAGACUUUGAUGUACAAUUUUUGGAAAAUAAGUACGAAAUAAAUAUUUUGGGAAGACAAUAGAUAUCGUGUACUGUCAAAAGAAACGCAGGUAACGUCGCACCGACACAAUUAUGGGUCAUAUGGCGACUUUCCAGCUUUAAUGGUGGAGGAAGGCCCCAGUUGCCCCUCCGCGCAUUAUGUCAUCACGAGCGGACACCUGGGUAGAACCACCGACCAUCUGCAAGUUAGAUGAACCGAUGGCACAAAUGUAUGGUCUUUUUCUAUAGCGCGUCCCUGUAAAAUAAUUCCAUGUCUUGAAUAUUCUCCUUUCAGCUGAGCACACUAAAACAUUUUCGCGAAAAGUACAUGUGCAAUAUUGAUCUUAUUAAAUUUCCCGAGAUGUUUGCUGAAAUAUAUAUCGUGCAUAUCAAGGAAAUGUAAAGAUCAAUUAUAUGUACGAGUUAAGCAUUGUAGACAGUAUACUGGGAAAAACACUAGAAGUGUAAGCAGUUUAAUCGCUCGUAAAAUCAUAAGAAAAUGUCGGGACCCGAACGACGCUCUAGGAAAUAACCUGAAGAUCAGGUGUUUCGUAGAUUUUCGUAAUGAUCAGACAAGUAACUGAAGAGAACAAAGCCGUUGUACGAAUUUCAGUAUUCACAAAAUAUGACACUUUUUUUCAAUUGCCGCUGUUUCUGUCUGGGAGCUGACCAUUUCUGCGACAAUUUUAAGCGGUUUUUUACAUCAAGGUAUCCACCGACUGACUUCUCUAACGUAACUCGUUGAAAAGAGUUUAAGAAACGUGUCCAGCCGGGAAUUACAUUUACUACAAAUUUACUAAUAGAUUUCUAAUUGAUAUUGCGUAUUUGAUGAAGUUACAUUAAAAAACAAAAUGAGACUACGAAAUCAGACAGCGGAAUUUAGAAGAUUUCAUUAAGUUGAAUAGAAGAUCUAUCAAUAUUAAAAAACUUAAUAAUUUUACGGGUUUUAUUUAUUUCUUUUAUUAUUUUAUUUUAACUGUUGUUGUUUAUUUUUUGACGAAUAGUUUUAUAUUUGUGGUAAUAUUCGGUACAUUACAGCAAACGUAGGAUAGACAGAUAAGCCGUUUUGUGAUUUUCAUAAAUAACGUAGUAUUUCAACAAGAAAGAUUUGAAAGAUUGCUGCAGAUCAUCAAAUUUAAAACACAAAACUUAAUACACAGUGUUAUGCCUUCUUAUGAAUUUUCAAAAAAAAACAUGACUGUAUAAUUACUAUAUUUGGAAGUAAAUAAAAUUCGAUAGGUAAGACCAAUCCUUUUUAUAUGACGACUGCCUAUUUAACAGAGUAAUUAUAAUUUAGAAGUUUCGUUAUUCCAAAGAGUUACUUAAGAUUUAUAUGCUGUGUAAUAGGCACAAAUUCAAUAUUUAUGACAUUUUAGCCUGAAUAAUAAGUUGUAUUUACUCAAUUUCUUUGCGUUUUUCUUAUCUGCAGUUAUAUAGCAUGCCUCGGACCAAUACGACAACCCUUGGACAAAAAACAAGGCCAAUAUGAAAUUGCUCGAUUAAUAACAUUAUAUUAUUCCAUGUUCGUCAUUAGAUUUUAACCAGCAAACAAAUAAUUGCCUAUCAUAAUAUAUAUAAACCGAAAGUGGCUGAACAUUUUGAAUAGUUAACGAUCUAAGUAUAAGAUUAAAAUAAUCGGCAUAUAAUUGAAGCCAAAUAUUAUACAUUUAUGACGAUAUCAAAAAUGCUUUAUUAUUACAGCAUUUUAGCGUUUUGAUGAUAAAAAUGUGCAGAAAUAAAACGCCACCCUAUUUUUUUUUUUUUUCAGAAGGGGGUGGACAACGCGCCGUACAAUUGUGUCAAUCUUUUGACACGGUAUUAUUUUGCAAUAUUUUGUUAUAUAUUUUUACAUUGAACUAACUAACAAAUUACCACUUAUUUGAACAGUUUUCAACCCUUUCAACGACUAUUUGCAAAAUAUUAUACGGUAUCAGAAUUUUACGGCAAAUAUAAUUGACAUUAUCAAGAAUAAAAAAAAUAUAACAGAAAAUUGUGAAACCUUUGCGAAGGCGGAUUUUAUUUUUUUAUUUAUUUAUUUUUGCAUUUCUUUAAAGAGCAAUAUUACAAAUAUAUCGAUUCUAUUAUUUACAAUAUGCACAAUUAUGUGAUUUUUGCGAGUUGGCAGAUGUCAACUAAAUCCGAAAAUUAUGCUCUUCAUGUAUACAUGAUAUAAGCUGACAAAGUCACUUAAAUGAUAAGGCUUGUACAGAUGAAUUAAUUAGCGCUUCGUUGGUUAAGUGUUUAUUUUUUUAUUGUGAAAUGAAUUUACUUGACGUGGAAGAUCAAUAACUCCUUUUCUAUUUCUCAUUUCAUACGAAUACGAAUACAAGCUUUAUUAAGCAUAAAACAUAUUACAAUGUUUGGAGCCAAUAUAACUUAGUCUAUUAAUACAGUGAGAAAAUGACAGAUUUAACAUUUUCUGAAGAGUAUAUUAGUCAACUGGAACAUUACAGACAGGAAUAAUUUUCAGGGGAUAUUCCUAACAGUUAACUUUUCUCAUAUGACACGAAUAUAAAAGCUUAGAAAGAAUACAAACAGUGUUUUAUUAUCAUUUUAUACACAAUUGGCCAUUGACAAUAAUACAGAUUAAGAUAUUUCAUUCUCGGAUCUCUUUAAUGUGGACAAACAAGAAGUGGUAUUCUGGUUCUAUUUGUUUCAUAUUACAUGAUUUGCAUAACCUCUGUUCGCGCGGUAUAUUGUCGUACCGCACUGUUUCAAUUUAAGUCUAUGCAAAGAUGUUCUAAAUCUAGCUAAAGCAAUUCUAUAUUUACAUUCUUGUGCUAAAUCUAAAUAGUUUUCUAACUCAAAAUAAUGAUUGAAUUACAAUAUAUUUGUAACCAAGCUGAGUUAUUAAUCCCAGGAUACCAUUGUUGCUAAAAUGCGUUUACUAUUCUUUGUUAAAAAAAAACACAACACACACACACACAUUUUAAGAGGAAUUUCAAUAUCAGACUGAUUAUUUCAGAUACAUAAAACCAUGGACUUGACAACAUUUCCUUUAUAGAAAAUGCCAAAUUUUUGUUGCAGUAAUUGCGACUAGCAUCUGCGUGAGACUUGAGAAGUAAGUAAGCCUGCUUAACAAGGGAGUUAUCAUUCUGUUUAAUUACUACUAUGUUUCGAGGGCUGAGUAGGAAACUAUUGUAUCUGCAUUUUUUUUUUAAUUUUACAGGAUAAAAAAAAAACUAUAUAUUUUCUUAAAAACACAGCUCAAUAUCACUAUUCUAAAAUCAUUAUCAAUUGAAAUAAGAAAUAAUAUAUAGGCUUUUGAAAUGCUAUUCUUAAGACUUAGCGAAAAGUGUCAGAUACAAUAGUUUCACUUUCAAAAUGACAAUAUUGAAUUUAAAAAGUCACCGUGAAACUAUUGUAUCUGUAUUGUUCAUUAAGAAUUAUUUAUUAAAUUCAUAUUGCUUUAAGCAUAGAAUUAUUUUUUAACUUACAAAUAUCAUAAAUUACAAACAUACAAUGAAAAUAGUGUCAGAUACAGUAAUUUCUUUCUGAUGUCUGGGAAACUAUUGUAUCUGUAUCUGAAUUAUUUUUUCAUUUUUUUUCUAUUAUCAUAUUGAAUUACCUCUUAAAUAUUUGUAUUUGUCUUUCUAUUUCUAUUUAUAACUUGGUAAACAUAUAUUUUUAGGCUCUGAAAAUAACUAAACAAUAAUUUAAGCCAGGAAUAAUAGUCAAAUUGAAUAAAAAUAUAUUUAUCAUUACCUUUGAUAAUUUUUUUUGCGACCAUAUGCAUUAAUACUUGACUG